rnacentral:rRNA from 1 species
GACGUAGGGUGCGAGCGUUGUCCGGAUUUAUUGGGCGUAAAGAGCUCGUAGGCGGCUCGUCGCGUCAGCUGUGAAAACCCGCAGCUUAACUGUGGGCUUGCAGCUGAUACGGGCGGGCUAGAGUUCGGUAGGGGAGACUGGAAUUCCUGGUGUAGCGGUGAAAUGCGCAGAUAUCAGGAGGAACACCGGUGGCGAAGGCGGGUCUCUGGGCCGAUACUGACGCUGAGGCACGAAAGCGUGGGGAGCAAACAGG